GCUGGCGGCGUGCCUAAUACAUGCAAGUCGAGCGAACAGAUAAGGAGCUUGCUCCUUUGACGUUAGCGGCGGACGGGUGAGUAACACGUGGGUAACCUACCUAUAAGACUGGAAUAACUCCGGGAAACCGGGGCUAAUGCCGGAUAACAUUUAGAACCGCAUGGUUCUAAAGUGAAAGAUGGUUUUGCUAUCACUUAUAGAUGGACCCGCGCCGUAUUAGCUAGUUGGUAAGGUAACGGCUUACCAAGGCAACGAUACGUAGCCGACCUGAGAGGGUGAUCGGCCACACUGGAACUGAGACACGGUCCAGACUCCUACGGGAGGCAGCAGUAGGGAAUCUUCCGCAAUGGGCGAAAGCCUGACGGAGCAACGCCGCGUGAGUGAUGAAGGUCUUCGGAUCGUAAAACUCUGUUAUUAGGGAAGAACAAAUGUGUAAGUAACUGUGCACGUCUGA
rnacentral:rRNA from 2 species